GGGGCUCCGGGUGACGUCAGGGGGACUGUGGGUUCGCCGCGAACAAAAGAGAUGCUGAUCGCCCGCCAGGACUGGGGCAAAAGAACUUUUUUUCGGUUUCCUUUGCGGUCGUCAAACUUUUUGGGGGGCAGAGGGGGAGGGACGGGAAGCGGCUGGAAAGGGAUAGACUGGGAGGAAAGGGAGGGGCUGGAGUCGUGUGAAGCGAAGGGGUCCCUAGUCCCUCCUUCCCCCACCUCCCCGCCCGCUUCCCCUUUCUAGUUUACUGUAGUGGGGGGGAGGUUGAGGACAUUGCAUCACCUCUGGGAAAAAAAAAUCUCUGCUCACUGGAGUGUAUUUCAAGGGGAGGAAAAACCGUAAAGUAGCCACCACCUUGCUGCUGUAGGAAUGUAGACCUUGCCGUCCCAAGGCGGGGCUGGCGCGCCUCCUGUUCCCUUUCUUAGCUCUACUGUGUACUGAUUGGGGACUCACUUUCUUUGCCUUUACAGCUUCCUGUUCAAAACUUCUCCCCUUCUAAACUCUGUACCUGCCCGGUUCUGAGGCGUGCUAGCCGCGGGGCCAAAGGGAAAAGCAAUCCUUUAAUGAGCUUCUACUAAGUACCAGGAGCUCUGCGGGGCGCUUGGCGGAUCUGGGGGAAAUUCAGAGAAGGAGGUUUCUUUUGAAAAGACAGAGCAGCAGUUUACUUUUUUUUUUUCAAGUAUGCAAGAAAGUCUUCUUUUCCUGCGGAUAGGAUGCCUGUUACCACUGAAAACUGGAAAGUUGGGCCGAUCAUGGAAAGAGAAAGAUCGUGGUGUCCUUGACCAUGUUCACCGCGCCCCUUACACAGAGACCUCUGAGUCACUUAAAGCUGAGACAAGACCAUUCCCAGUCUCGCCUUCCUACAGUCCCUUCCUCUCUUUUUAUUUGGAAUUUUUGUUUGGCAGACAUCGGUUUCAUCACAGAAUUCCCCUCCCCCAACGCCGCUGCCAAUUUUUUUUUUCAAGUGUUACUUACUCCAAGAAUGUAGAAAGUUCCCAUUUGAAACUUCCUGAUCUUUCCCUGUAAAGGCAGAGAGUAGAAAGGGAACCUGAGAAGUCGCUAGCAUUUAGCAACUCAUCACAUCAGCCCUUUUUUCAGACAAACACAGGUCACACUUGCUUUUUAAAGAUCUUCCAAAGGAGUCCUCAGCUUUCUUCAGUUACUCCUGAGGGACCCAAACUCAAAGCUUCGCCUCCUAGUUAGGUUAGUAAGUGCAGACCUCCCUUUUGCUUUGAGAACCUAUGAAAGUUGCCAGCCAAAUAUGUUUCUUUCUGCAAGUACUUGUUUUCUUCAAAAGUUCCGCCUUCAAUAACUGCCAUGGGGUAAUUCGAACCCUGGUCUAUAAAAUGUCCAGCACAUCAAAGACACAAAACUAACAUUUGUUUUUAUUAACACAGGGAAUUAAAGGGGGGGGGCAAGCACAGCAAAUAUCAGUUUCUUACAAAGAGUGUAAAAUAACUUCUUGAGGAAUCUUUGUGACCAACUUUUCAAGUUGAAAGAGUGCCACGGACUUCCCCAAAUUUAGAGUCCUGUCUGGGUCAGAGUUUUUUUGAAUUUCUCAUCAUCAACUUGACAAAGCAGUUUUCUCUUUCAAAUAUAAAAGGGCCGCUUGUAAAAUUCUUAGUAAAUUUCUGGGAAGCUGGGUGUUCCUUCCAGAGGGAAGGAUACCUGGAAAUCAGGAUGUAAGCAAGAUAAACCUGAAGCUAAUACUUUCUUAAAAUACAUAGAUUCUAGGGGAAGGAAAUAAGUGGUUAGAAAAGUAUUUUGUCAACCAAAACCAUGAUAGUUGGAUAUAUUUACUGUACUCAAAAUACAUUAGAAUAAUAUACACAUGACAGCUUGGAGGGAAAAGGCCCAAGCAGCUUACAUUUCAGAAGAAACAUGUUUCAAUCCAUUGAAAUAUAAUUUGUUUAAGGAUAUGGCAUAUUUCUAGUGUCUCAUAAGCAAAAAUGUAAUAAUAUUUUUUUUAGAGAAAUUCUUACGAAUUUACACUUUUAAUUUUUCUUUUUAAACAUUGAUAGUGGAGACCUUUUCUUAGUUAAAAUAACAAGGCUUGCUACGGUAUUCUUUCAUUAUCAAAAUCCCUUGUAAUUGUGUAAGUCUGUUAUCUCUAACUGGAGAGAGAAUUAAAUCUCUCCACACUGACCCUAUUCAAACUAGGCAUGCCGCGGGUCCAAGAUUCCCUUGCACUCCCUGAAGAAUUCUGAAGAUGAUUUUGACAGGGUGGGUUCUUCAGCAAACAGUAGUUUUUUAUUUAUAGGCUAGAUUCUUGGAUUUCUUUUCCUCAUCUUGAUUUGCAGAGGAAAUUGUGACAAAAGGGACAGAAAAUAGAUUGCUAGGUGCCUGGGGCUGGAGCUGGAACAAGAAUUAACUGUAAAUGGGCACAAGGAAUCUGUCUGGGGUCUUAGAAAUAAAUGUUAAAACGGGAUUGUGAUGGUGGCUGCACAGCUUGGUAAAGUUACUAAAAAUCAUCGAAUUGUACACUUAAAAUGAGUGACUUUUAUGGUUUGGAAUAAAGUUUUUUUAAUUAAUUAAAGCACAGUAUUUCUUUAUUCUUUUUUAACUUGUACCAUCUUCUGAUUUUGUUUCUGCAGCACGCACAAAGUGACCUCCUGUCUUCAUUUUUCUAAGAGGGAGCUUGCCUUUAAUAUAGUAAUGGAUUUUUUUUCUUCUACACCAGUCACCCCUUAGGAAACCUAGUAUUUGUGUGAUGGCACGGAUGUGGGAGAGAAGGAACAAAUCUUCAUUUAGGAUUGUGCCUUGUUUCUUCUUGGACUUGCCAUGGAGAUAGGAUUUUCUCAGAACUUAGGUCAAUUUAAAUUUUCAGUAACGAAAAGGAGCACAUAUAUUUGUGUGGUGGGGGGAGGGGGUUGUUAUUUGAAUGUCCUCUUAUUGGGGAAGGUUAAUAAGGAGCAUGAACAAUUAUGGAAAUCCAAAGUGACUUGACUUCAUCUGAGUUGAAGAUUAUGGUUAAGCAGAAAAUGAAUUUAUCAGAUCCAGUCAUUUAGAGAGGACUGAAAUUAAAACAACUUAAGGGAUAAGUAUUAAAAGGCAGUUUUUUUCCUAAGUGGAAAAUGGCUUUUCUCUAAGAGUAAUACACACAUGACAGACAAUACCCAUUGUAGGCAAAUCCCUUGCCAGCUGGAAAAAAAUCUUAUCCCUGAUAAGAAGUAACUUCUUGACCCCAAAGGUUACAUUUAAAUGAAGAUGGGCUGUUUUGCCAGAAAACCUUUGGCUUUUAUCUGUUCUUAAUCAUUUUCGGUCCAGUUAGAGGUGAGGCCAUUGAUUAAGUGACCUUUGGAGCUUUCUACCAUAAGAGCCUGCCGUGUCUUUUACUAUUUUGUGGUCUUCUAUGGGUAGGUUGAAUGGAGAGAAAUUAUGGUAGUUUGGUUUCUUAUCUUGAUUUUUUUUUUUUUUUUUAGUGUGAAAUCCUUCCCAUCUUCCCUUGAAAACAGCCAGGCUUGAAGAGCGGCUACUCAUUAAACACAGGUGCAAGAAGGAAAAAUAAACUGCCUCAUGGGCAGCCCUCACAGGUAAAAUGUCUGGGCAGUUAGUCUAGAACUGACAGGGCCCGGCAACUAGGGAAAAAAAAUACUUGAUAAAGACUUUAAUUUAUGCCUUGAAAACGAGCCAGUUUUCAGUUAAUCAGCACUUUGUUUCUAUUUGAAGUUCCUUUCUUAUUUAAUCAGCACUUUUAAAAGCCUUAAUCUGUGCCCUUUGUUUUUUAACUGGAGUGUUCUUUUUUCUCAUUAGAGUGAUGGGACUCCCAAAAGGCUUUGCAAAGGAGUCUUAUUCAUCCAUAAAGUGGAACGAACUACUGUGUAGCUGGAACGCUCUCCCAGAACCGUGUUAUAAAACAGUUCGGUUUUCCAAGGUAGGAUGUCAAAGAAUGAAGUUGGAGGAAAGUUUAAGCUGGAAUCCAAGUGGCGUAAAGACAGCACGGGAAACAAAUGUUAAAAUGCUAUACCACAGCUUCUCUGGGUGUUGAAUUAAACGGUUAUCAAGCUAAUUGGCAGUUCUUUAAGGAAUAUGAUGGAGACUGCUGGUUGCCCACCCAGAGCCGGUCUGUUCUUCCCCAGCUGGUCCCACUGUGCACAACUAGACCACACUUUCCAGUCCCUCCUUGCAGCUGCAUCAUAGUGGAAAUAGUUCGCACUAGUGCAAGGUGAGAAGUGUUAUGUCCCUACUCUGGGUCUGGGACUUCAUUCAUUCAGCAUGCCUGCUCCAGAUUCUUUUAUUCCUUCCUACCAGCUGAAAUGCAGACAUGGAAAACAACCCAGCUUUCACCAAGAAAAUGAUGAAAACAACUUAGAAAAAGCCUAGGUCCUGAAUCAUCAUGAAGGGCAGACCUUCUCCACUCACCUGGGCCUUUGACACUGGGACUGUUUGUUGCAUGAGAAAGAAAUACACUCCUUUAUUCUUUAAGCCUCUGAGCUAUUGAUCAUCUUUGUGACAGCAGCCUAGCCUCCACGUUAACCCACAUAUGGGCCUGUCACUGCCUUCCUUAGAUGCCCAGUUGUUGAGCUACCUUUCUCCUGGUGACUGCAUGGGUUUCGUUUACCAGCUGUGACCUGCUGUUUGCAAUUCUGCUUCAUUUUUUCUUCUUUCCCAGGCUCUCCGUAUACACUUGCAGCAAAAUUUUAGCUUCUUUGCUAAACUCUCCUGAUAUUUAUCAUUUACUUAGAAAUAACAAAUUCAAGUUAUCCAUCAGUUAUUUUGAACUUCUACUAAGAGCUCUGUUAUGGGUGGGAUUGGGUCUCCUGAAAUUCAGAUGUCAAAGACCUAACCCCCAGGACCUCAGAAUGUGACCUUAUUUGAAGACAGAACUUGACAGAGGCAACCAAGUUCAGACAAGACCAUUGGGGUGGGCCCUAAUCCACUAUGACUGGUGUCUUUGUGAAAAGGGAAAGUUUAUGACAGACAUGCACAGAGAGGAUGCCACGUGGAAAUACAUAAAGGCAGAGAUCAGGGUGUUGUUUCUAUAAUCAAGGAAUUCCAACGAUGGUCGUCAACCUACCAGAAGCCAGAGGAGAGGCAUGGAACAUAUUCUUCCCUCACAGCUGUCGGAAAGAACCAACCCUGCUGACACUUUGAUCUCCGAUUUCUACCCUCCAGAACUGGAGAUGCUACUGAUCUGUUGGUUAAGCUACCUGGUUAGUUGUGCUUCGUUACUGCAGCCCUAGAGCGACCACCCAAACCCCACAAGCCAUCUUUGGCAAACAGGAAUUAUUUCAGCAACCUGAGAAGGAGAGAAAAAAGCUUGUUCCUAGAACCCAGAUAGCAGAACCUGUGCUGACCAGAAAGACAUCUGGGCAACGAGGAGAUUGUACACUGUAGGUCAGAAAUCAGGAGAGGGGUUGGUGAUUAUUUCCAGAAUGUACUAAUGAUCUAGUGUACAUCUAUAAAAAUGUCCAAAAUUAUACCUCAUCUAGAUUACAUUAUAUAAAGUUACAUGGACAUCAAAAACAAAAUGUGCCUGCCUUUCAAUGCAGCAAUUCUAAAUUCCUCUAUUUUUUAAGAUAACUCUAACGAAGAAAUUGGCAAACCUAGGGGCCAAAUCUAGCCUACCUGUUGUUUGGGGGCAGCCUGUGAGUUAAGAACGGUUUUUAGAUUUUCUCAAAUGGUUGAAAAAAAGUCAAAAGUAUAAUAUUUUAAGAUGAGAGAAAAUUAUAUGAAAUUUAAAUUUCAAUGUUGAUAAAUGAAGUUAUAUGUUAAUACCAACAUGCUUAUUUUUUUGACAUAUAGUCUACAGCUGCUUCCACACUCCAAUGGCAGAUAUGUGUGACAGACCAUAUGGAUCCCCAAACUGAAAAUAUUUACUGUUUGUCCCUUGAGGGAAAAUUUUGCUGAUCCUCUGGUGUAGAACAUUUGAGUGAAGUAUCCCUUCCAAAUUAUUAUCAUAUUUCCCCAGUCUUCUAUAGUUGUCUUGCCCAAAUCUAAUUCGAAAGCACUGUUUUAUGUGUCUCAACUUUAUCACAUCUCUCCAAAGUAAUUCAAAUUAGUUUUCAUGGAAAGUGCUUUCUUUUCACACUUCUGUUUCAAAGGUUACAAAGGCAUUUUACUAAAUCAUGUAAUUAUAUAAACAAAUACAACUAGAAUAAGCAGUUUGGUGCCAACAACUGACCCCUGAUAAAUGUAUAAUUCAAAAUGUGACAAUGAAUAUAUGUAUGUUCAUAUAUCACUGAAAAAUUGUGCUCUACAUUGGAAUUUGACACAGCAUUGUAAAAUGACUAUAACUCAAUAAAAAAUUUU